rnacentral:rRNA from 1 species
GUCGAGGGGAAUACUCGCCUCAAUGAGCGGCAGCCUGAUGCAGGCAUGACGCGUGUGUGAUGACGUCGUCGGGUGUAAAGCACUUUAUUCGAGGACGAAAGGCUGUUGAGCAUAAUAGCCUCACCCUGAUUGACGUUUCCCCGCAGAAGAAGCACCGGUCUUACUCCGUGUCCAGCAGCCGCGGUAAUCCGGAGGCGUGCAAGCGUUAAUCGGAAUUAUUGGGGCGUAAAAGCGCACGCAGGCGGUCUGUCAAGUUGGGAUGUGAAAUGCCCCGGGGCCCAACCGGGGAACUCCAUUCAGAAACUGGCAGGGCUAGAGUCUGUAGAGGGGGGGUAGAAUUCCAGGCGUAGCGGUGAAAUGCGUAGAGAUCUGGAGGAAUACCGGUGGCGAAGGCGGCCCCCUGGACAAAGCCUGACGCUCAGGUGCGAAAGCGUGGGGAGCAAACAGGAUUACAUUCCCUGGUAGUCCUCGCCGUAAACGAUGUCGAUUUGGAGGUUGUGCCCUUGAGGCGUGGCUUCCGGAGCUAACGCGUUAAAUCCACCGCCUGGGGAGUACGCCCGCAAGGUUAAAACUCAAAUGAAUUGACGGGGGCCCGCCCCAGCGGUGGAGCAUGUGGUUUAAUUCGAUGCAACGCGAAGACCCUUACCUGGUCUUGACAUCCACAGAACUUUCCAGAGAUGGAUUGGUGCCUUCGGGAACUGUGAGACAGGUGCUGCAUGGCCGUCGUCACCUCGYGUUGUGAAAUGUUGGGUUAAGUCCCGCAACGAGCGCAACCCUUAUCCUUUGUUGCCAGCGGUUAGGCCGGGCCCUCAAAGGAGACUGCCAGUGAUAACCUGGAGGAAGGUGGGGAUGACGUCAAGUCAUCAUGGCCCUUACGACCAGGGCUACACACGUGCUACAAUGGCAUAUACAAAGAGAAGCGACCUCGCGAGAGCAAGCGGACCUCAUAAAGUAUGUCGUAGUCCGGAUUGGAGUCUGCAACUCGACUCCAUGAAGUCGGAAUCGCUAGUAAUCGUAGAUCAGAAUGCUACGGUGAAUACGUUCCCGGCCCUUGUACACACCGCCCGUCACCCCAUGGGAGUGGGUUGCAAAAGAAGUAGGUAGCUUAACCUUCGGGAGGGCGCUACUCAUCGUCGAC